UGCAUAUGUGAAAAUAUAAAGCCUUUUGUGGCUUCAGAGGGAGCUGUGUGAAGUCUGAUAAAUUGCCUCAAGUGAUGUCACAUGAGUCAGUUAGGGCUGAAGACUACAAGU